rnacentral:rRNA from 1 species
GAUGAACGCUGGCGGCGUGCCUAAUACAUGCAAGUCGAGCGAACAGACGAGGAGCUUGCUCCUCUGACGUUAGCGGCGGACGGGGGAGUAACACGUGGAUAACCUACCUAUAAGACUGGGAUAACUUCGGGAAACCGGAGCUAAUACCGGAUAAUAUAUUGAACCGCAUGGUUCAAUAGUGAAAGACGGUUUUGCUGUCACUUAUAGAUGGAUCCGCGCCGGAUUAGCUAGUUGGUAAGGUAACGGCUUACCAAGGCAACGAUGCGUAGCCGACCUGAGAGGGUGAUCGGCCACACUGGAACUGAGACACGGUCCAGACUCCUACGGGAGGCAGCAGUAGGGAAUCUUCCGCAAUGGGCGAAAGCUUGACGGAGCAACGCCGCGUGAGUGAUGAAGGUCUUCGGAUCGUAAAACUCUGUUAUUAGGGAAGAACAAAUGUGUAAGUAACUAUGCACGUCUUGACGGUACCUAAUCAGAAAGCCACGGCUAACUACGUG